GACGAACGCUGGCGGCGUGCCUAACACAUGCAAGUCGAACGGAAGUAAGUGCUUCGGUAUUUACUUUAGUGGCGAACGGGUGAGUAACGCGUGAGGAACCUGCCUUUCAGUGGGGGACAACAGUUGGAAACGACUGCUAAUACCGCAUGACGCUUCUUAGGGGCAUCCCUGAGAAGUCAAAGCUUUAUGUGCUGAAAGGUGGCCUCGCGUCUGAUUAGCUAGUUGGUGGGGUAACGGCCCACCAAGGCGACGAUCAGUAGCCGGUCUGAGAGGAUGAACGGCCACAUUGGGACUGAGAUACGGCCCAG
rnacentral:rRNA from 1 species